UCCCGGGUCGUCUAGCGGCAGGACAGCGGACUUUGAAUCCGUCAACGGAGGUUCGAUCCCUCCCCCGGGAGCCA
rnacentral:tRNA from 4 species